rnacentral:rRNA from 1 species
UACGUAGGGGGCAAGCGUUAUCCGGAAUUACUGGGUGUAAAGGGAGCGUAGACGGUAAUGUAAGUCUGGAGUGAAAGGCGGGGGCCCAACCCCCGGACUGCUCUGGAAACUAUGUUACUAGAGUGCAGGAGAGGUAAGCGGAAUUCCUAGUGUAGCGGUGAAAUGCGUAGAUAUUAGGAGGAACACCAGUGGCGAAGGCGAUUUGCUGGGCCAUUACUGACGCUCAUGCACGAAAGCGUGGGGAGCAAAUAGG